CUUCACAAGUCUCAAUGGCAGAGAUUGCAAACGUUCACCAGGGCUGCACGAAGCCUUUGAAGGUCACUGUCCUCUCCAACUCAAUGGGCAUUUAAAACAGGCUACAAGGCAGGGUAGUACAGUGGUUUGAGCACUGGACUAUGACUUUGGAGACCAGAGUUCAAAUCCUCACUUGGGCAUGAUAUCCAUUGGGCAAGUCACACACCCUCGGCUUCAAAGGAAGGGAAUAGCAACACUUUUCUGAAGAAAUCUUGCCAAGAAAACCUUGUGAUCAGCAGACUGGGCCACAGCAACGCGUGGCAGGGAACGGCUAGUUUCUGUAUAAACCUCUUUGAAUCCCACCAGAGGGUUGUUGCAAAGAUGAAGAGAAGAGCCCACUGGAGGAGGAGUGGGAUGAGGAGAAAGAUGAAGAUGAUGAUUUUACAGUCAGCCCUUGAUAUUUGCGGUGAUUGGUUUGUAGGAACCCUGUGAAAAUGAAAAAAAAACCCCAUUAUAAAACAAUUAUUUUUUUACCCCAGAGGUA